UACACAUACACAUACAUAAUGGAAAUAAAAGCUAUGUUCUAAAUGAUAAUAUAAAUAUCAAGUCAUUUGCCAAAUAUGUAAAUGGAUGAUAGAGCUAAAGCUAAGUUAAUAAGAGACUGAUCAUAACAGACUUUUUAAUAUUAGAGUAGUAUGGUUUUCUUUAACAAUUUUACCAUGAACAUGUGAAAAGUAAGAGUAGUUAUGUCUUCAGAAAACUUUUCAUUAAAUCUUUUUUGAAAUAGUUUUAUAUUUACAUUUCUGUAAAUUCUCAUUUGCACAGAUAGUAACAAGAAAAACUGUCCUCAAAUACUUCACACCCAUGGGGGUAUUAGUCAUUAAUCAACUAAUAUUAAUUAAGUCUAUGUUUAGAUUUCCUGGUUUUUGUUUGUUUGUUUUUUAUCUAAGGGCCUUUUUCUGUUCCUGGGUCUCAUUCACCAUACCCUAUUCCAUUUAGUUGCCAUGUCACCUCGGGCUCCUCUGAGCUGAGUCUGUAUACCUUUCCAUGUUUUCAAGGACCUUGACGAAGAGUAUUGGUUAGGCAUUUUGUAGACCCUCCCUCUGUUGUGAUUUGACUGAUGCAUUUCCAUGAUUAGACAGCAGUUUUGGUUUGGGGAAGGAAUACCAGAGGAAACAUGCCAUUCUUGUCACACGAUAUCAAAGGUGCAUGCCUUGGUCAUGACUCCUCUUGCUGUGAGAAUUUCUCAAACUUUGGGAUCCUCUUAGCUGUUAAUGUUGACCUUGAUCAACUGAAUGAGGGACUGACUGUUAGGCUUCUCCACUAUAAAGUAAUCAAUUUUUAUAAGGUUACACUAGAGGAAAAUUUAGUGGACAUUUACACUGAGUUUUAAAAAAUUCUGAGUAGAUUUUCAAUACUAAUAUUAGGUUCAUUAAAGGAUUAAUGACAAAUGCUAUGAAUACAAUGAGCUGGAAAAUCAAAUGGGAGAAUAAAACUAAAACAGUGUUACGUCGAAUAUUUGCUUAAUAGAGGUGGAAGUAAAUUUUUUUCCUUGAACUACCUGUGCAAUUAUUUUAAGCCUCCACACACUUUGGAUAAUAAAGAUCUUAAUCUUAUUAAUUGUAAUAAGAGGUAAUUUAAAUUGGUAAUCAUUUUGCUUAGUGCUUUUCUAUAUGCCCUCCACUGAACAAUGUACACAAUAUUGAAAUAAUGUAAAAGACUUGAUAUUUUCACCCCAGCUUUAACUAUUUGUCAUAAAUACAAUGUUUCUUGUAUAUGAUUUUAAGAUGUUUUACUAAUACUAAAAAUUUUAAUGUGUUUGAUUCUAUAUACUUUAUCAUAUUGAAUGUGUAUAAUUUCUUACUACCAUGUUCAUUAUAUUUAGUAAUCUAUAUCCAUAUUUUGGACUCCACCAACAUUUAUUAGUGGACUACAAAGAAGUUUUAAGUGCAUGAAUACAUCUUAAGAGGCACCACACUUGGUUAUUUUGCAAUGCCAAAAUAACUGUAGUUACUCAUCAAUUGCAUAGAUAAUCAAGAUUAUUUUUCCUCCAGUUUAAAUUAUUCUGGAUUUUUAUUCCCCUUUCCUUGACUCUACUUCAUGAUUUUACCUAUGUACAACAGUAGACUUCCCCAAAUGCUACAUUUUUACCAUGUAAUAGAAUUUGAGCAUGUCAACAGUGUAAGAAAAUCCAGAAGUCUCAUACUAAGUAUGUUUGAAUUUUCAAAGUAAAUCAAACAACAGCUGUUUUCAUUUAACUAUGUUGUGGAAACCUAUGGACACCAUUGUAAAAUGCGUAUGCAUUAGACUUUCUUCACUUUCUUAAAAUGUUUUUGAAUUAAUAAAGAAUUCACCAAUGUAUCCUUAGACAAGUUAUUGUUUCCUCCUUGGUAUAACACUACAGGAAUAAAGGGUACACUUACAUGUGUUGCUUAAGUUGCUUAUGCAUCUGAGG
rnacentral:lncRNA from 1 species